rnacentral:rRNA from 1 species
GUGAGGAAUAUUGCACAAUGGGGGAAACCCUGAUGCAGCAACGCCGCGUGGAUGAUGAAGGCCUUCGGGUUGUAAAAUCCUUUUCUGAGGGAAGAUAAUGACGGUACCUCAGGAAUAAGUUCCGGCUAACUACGUGCCAGCAGCCGCGGUAAAACGUAGGGGACAAGCGUUAUCCGGAUUUACUGGGCGUAAAGCGCAUGUAGGUGGCGCGGAAAGUUGGACGUGAAAGCUCCCGGCUUAACUGGGAGAGGUCGUUCAAAACUGUCGUGCUUGAGGUUGGAAGAGGAGAGCGGAAUUCCCGGUGUAGUGGUGGAAUGCGUAGAUAUCGGGAGGAACACCAGUGGCGAAAGCGGCUCUCUGGUUCACACCUGACACUGAGAUGCGAAAGCGUGGGGAGCGA